rnacentral:rRNA from 1 species
AACGAACGCUGGCGGCGUGCUUAACACAUGCAAGUCGAACGCGAAAGGGACUUCGGUCCUGAGUAAAGUGGCGCACGGGUGAGUAACGCGUAGAUAACCUGUCUUCAUGUCUGGAAUAAUACGCCGAAAGGGGUACUAAUACCGGAUAUUCUUGCUUUUCAUAAGUUAUGCAAGCAAAGGUGGCCUCUGCAUAUGCUACUGCAUGAAGAGGGGUCUGCGUACCAUUAGCUAGUAGGUGGGGUAAUGGCCUACCUAGGCGACGAUGGUUAGCGGGUCUGAGAGGAUGAUCCGCCACACUGGCACUGGAACACGGGCCAGACUCCUACGGGAGGCAGCAGUGAGGAAUAUUGCGCAAUCCGGGGGAAACCCUGACGCAGCGACGCCGCGUGAGUGAGGAAGGCCUUCGGGUCGUAAAGCUCUGUCAAGAGGAAAGAAGUGUACAAUGGCUAAUACCUGUUGUAUUUGACGGUACCUCUAAAGGAAGCACCGGCUAACUCCGUGCCAGCCGCGGC